rnacentral:rRNA from 1 species
UACGUCGGGGGCAAGCGUUGUCCGGAUUUAUUGGGCGUAAAGAGCUCGUAGGUGGUUCGUUAAGUCGGAUGUGAAAUCUCCAGGCUCAACCUGGAGGGGUCAUUCGAUACUGCCGUGACUAGAGGUCGGUAGGGGAGUGUGGAAUUCCUGGUGGAGCGGUGAAAUGCGCAGAUAUCAGGAGGAACACCUGCGGUGUAGACGGCUUUCUGGACCAUUGCUGACGCUGAGACACGAAAGCGUGGGUAGCAAACAGG